AGCGUACACGGUGGAUGCCCUGGCAGUCAGAGGCGAUGAAGGACGUGCUAAUCUGCGAUAAGCGUCGGUAAGGUGAUAUGAACCGUUAUAACCGGCGAUUUCCGAAUGGGGAAACCCAGUGUGAUUCGUCACACUAUCAUUAACUGAAUCCAUAGGUUAAUGAGGCGAACCGGGGGAACUGAAACAUCUAAGUACCCCGAGGAAAAGAAAUCAACCGAGAUUCCCCCAGUAGCGGCGAGCGAACGGGGAGCAGCCCAGAGCCUGAAUCAGUGUGUGUGUUAGUGGAAGCGUCUGGAAAGGCGCGCGAUACAGGGUGACAGCCCCGUACACAAAAAUGCACAUGCUGUGAGCUCGAUGAGUAGGGCGGGACACGUGGUAUCCUGUCUGAAUAUGGGGGGACCAUCCUCCAAGGCUAAAUACUCCUGACUGACCGAUAGUGAACCAGUACCGUGAGGGAAAGGCGAAAAGAACCCCGGCGAGGGGAGUGAAAAAGAACCUGAAACCGUGUACGUACAAGCAGUGGGAGCACGCUUAGGCGUGUGACUGCGUACCUUUUGUAUAAUGGGUCAGCGACUUAUAUUCUGUAGCAAGGUUAACCGAAUAGGGGAGCCGAAGGGAAACCGAGUCUUAACUGGGCGUUAAGUUGCAGGGUAUAGACCCGAAACCCGGUGAUCUAGCCAUGGGCAGGUUGAAGGUUGGGUAACACUAACUGGAGGACCGAACCGACUAAUGUUGAAAAAUUAGCGGAUGACUUGUGGCUGGGGGUGAAAGGCCAAUCAAACCGGGAGAUAGCUGGUUCUCCCCGAAAGCUAUUUAGGUAGCGCCUCGUGAAUUCAUCUCCGGGGGUAGAGCACUGUUUCGGCAAGGGGGUCAUCCCGACUUACCAACCCGAUGCAAACUGCGAAUACCGGAGAAUGUUAUCACGGGAGACACACGGCGGGUGCUAACGUCCGUCGUGAAGAGGGAAACAACCCAGACCGCCAGCUAAGGUCCCAAAGUCAUGGUUAAGUGGGAAACGAUGUGGGAAGGCCCAGACAGCCAGGAUGUUGGCUUAGAAGCAGCCAUCAUUUAAAGAAAGCGUAAUAGCUCACUGGUCGAGUCGGCCUGCGCGGAAGAUGUAACGGGGCUAAACCAUGCACCGAAGCUGCGGCAGCGACGCUUAUGCGUUGUUGGGUAGGGGAGCGUUCUGUAAGCCUGUGAAGGUGUGCUGUGAGGCAUGCUGGAGGUAUCAGAAGUGCGAAUGCUGACAUAAGUAACGAUAAAGCGGGUGAAAAGCCCGCUCGCCGGAAGACCAAGGGUUCCUGUCCAACGUUAAUCGGGGCAGGGUGAGUCGACCCCUAAGGCGAGGCCGAAAGGCGUAGUCGAUGGGAAACAGGUUAAUAUUCCUGUACUUGGUGUUACUGCGAAGGGGGGACGGAGAAGGCUAUGUUGGCCGGGCGACGGUUGUCCCGGUUUAAGCGUGUAGGCUGGUUUUCCAGGCAAAUCCGGAAAAUCAAGGCUGAGGCGUGAUGACGAGGCACUACGGUGCUGAAGCAACAAAUGCCCUGCUUCCAGGAAAAGCCUCUAAGCAUCAGGUAACAUCAAAUCGUACCCCAAACCGACACAGGUGGUCAGGUAGAGAAUACCAAGGCGCUUGAGAGAACUCGGGUGAAGGAACUAGGCAAAAUGGUGCCGUAACUUCGGGAGAAGGCACGCUGAUAUGUAGGUGAAGCGACUUGCUCGUGGAGCUGAAAUCAGUCGAAGAUACCAGCUGGCUGCAACUGUUUAUUAAAAACACAGCACUGUGCAAACACGAAAGUGGACGUAUACGGUGUGACGCCUGCCCGGUGCCGGAAGGUUAAUUGAUGGGGUCAGCGCAAGCGAAGCUCUUGAUCGAAGCCCCGGUAAACGGCGGCCGUAACUAUAACGGUCCUAAGGUAGCGAAAUUCCUUGUCGGGUAAGUUCCGACCUGCACGAAUGGCGUAAUGAUGGCCAGGCUGUCUCCACCCGAGACUCAGUGAAAUUGAACUCGCUGUGAAGAUGCAGUGUACCCGCGGCAAGACGGAAAGACCCCGUGAACCUUUACUAUAGCUUGACACUGAACAUUGAGCCUUGAUGUGUAGGAUAGGUGGGAGGCUUUGAAGUGUGGACGCCAGUCUGCAUGGAGCCGACCUUGAAAUACCACCCUUUAAUGUUUGAUGUUCUAACGUUGACCCGUAAUCCGGGUUGCGGACAGUGUCUGGUGGGUAGUUUGACUGGGGCGGUCUCCUCCUAAAGAGUAACGGAGGAGCACGAAGGUUGGCUAAUCCUGGUCGGACAUCAGGAGGUUAGUGCAAUGGCAUAAGCCAGCUUGACUGCGAGCGUGACGGCGCGAGCAGGUGCGAAAGCAGGUCAUAGUGAUCCGGUGGUUCUGAAUGGAAGGGCCAUCGCUCAACGGAUAAAAGGUACUCCGGGGAUAACAGGCUGAUACCGCCCAAGAGUUCAUAUCGACGGCGGUGUUUGGCACCUCGAUGUCGGCUCAUCACAUCCUGGGGCUGAAGUAGGUCCCAAGGGUAUGGCUGUUCGCCAUUUAAAGUGGUACGCGAGCUGGGUUUAGAACGUCGUGAGACAGUUCGGUCCCUAUCUGCCGUGGGCGCUGGAGAACUGAGGGGGGCUGCUCCUAGUACGAGAGGACCGGAGUGGACGCAUCACUGGUGUUCGGGUUGUCAUGCCAAUGGCACUGCCCGGUAGCUAAAUGCGGAAGAGAUAAGUGCUGAAAGCAUCUAAGCACGAAACUUGCCCCGAGAUGAGUUCUCCCUGACUCCUUGA
rnacentral:rRNA from 1 species